rnacentral:lncRNA from 1 species
AGGGCUCCUCUCUAAUACAGAUAGGUUCCUGCCCAGUAUCAGCUUCAGUGUUGAUGCCUCUGACGUGAUCUAGCUGAAACCCUGGCCUAGUGCUUACAGCAUAAAGGAACAUGAGUGAACUGUUAUCUGGAGUGCAUACAGAAAGCUGUGAGUCUGCUUUGAAAGUACUGCUCACUCAGACGAAAGGAAGCCUGUGUACAUGGUUUGGAGGGAGCCUUCUUAGUUUCUAGUGCGGUCUUUGGAGAUGUUUCCAGAGAUAUGCAAUGACAUGCACCUUCCUGCAACCUUCAAGGCCAGAAAGACUGGGAAGUUGAAGAGUUGGAAUUAGUGAAUGAGCUUUUACACCAAGUAUCAAAACUUCCUUUUUCCUACCUUAUUCUUGCAUGGUCAGAGGUAAAUCAUGUUAUGUUACCAGGUGGGUCAUUCUGUCUGCAACCUGUUAUUUUAUUCAGUUUCAUCUUAAAUCAAAUUAAAUUCACAUUUAAAUCCA